rnacentral:rRNA from 1 species
GCCAGACUCCUACGGGAGGCAGCAGUGAGGAAUAUUGGUCAAUGGGCGAGAGCCUGAACCAGCCAAGUCGCGUGAAGGAUGACGGCCCUACGGGUUGUAAACUUCUUUUGUCAGGGAGCAAUUGGGUCCACGCGUGGGCUUAGCGAGAGUACCUGAAGAAAAAGCAUCGGCUAACUCCGUGCCAGCAGCCGCGGUAAUACGGAGGAUGCGAGCGUUAUCCGGAUUUAUUGGGUUUAAAGGGUGCGUAGGCGGAAUAUCAAGUCAGCGGUAAAAAGUCGGGGCUCAACCCCGUCGUGCCGUUGAAACUGAUGUCCUUGAGUGGGCGAGAAGUAUGCGGAAUGCGUGGUGUAGCGGUGAAAUGCAUAGAUAUCACGCAGAACUCCGAUUGCGAAGGCAGCAUACCGGCGCCCAACUGACGCUGAAGCACGAAAGCGUGGGUAUCGAACAGGAUUAGAUACCCGGGUA